GACGAACGCUGGCGGCGUGCUUAACACAUGCAAGUCGAACGGAAAGGCCCUGCUUGUGUGGGGUGCUCGAGUGGCGAACGGGUGAGUAACACGUGAGUAACCUGCCCUUGACUUUGGGAUAACUUCAGGAAACUGGGGCUAAUACCGGAUAGGAGCUCCUGCUGCAUGGUGGGGGUGGGAAAGUUUCGGCGGUUGGGGAUGGACUCGCGGCUUAUCAGGUUGGUGGUGGGGUAGUGGCUUACCACGGCUUUGACGGGUAGCCGGCCUGGGAGGGUGACCGGCCCCAUGGGGCCUGCGAGACGGCCCAGACUCCAACGUUAGGCAGCAGUGGGGAAUAUUGCCCAAUGGGCGGAAGCCUGAUGCAGCAACGCCGCGUGCGUGAUGACGGCCUUCGGGUUGUAAACCGCUUUCGCCUGUGACGAAGCGUGCGUGACGGUAAUGGAUAAAGAAGCACCGGCUAACUACGUG
rnacentral:rRNA from 1 species